rnacentral:misc_RNA from 1 species
AGAUGAAGAGCUUGGAUGAAGUGUACAGUCAGUUAAGUGAACGACAUGUGAGCAGGAGCAGAUCAGAUACAAAGCCGUCAGCAGGUGAAGCUCCGGUGAAGUUACCGACGAAGAUGAAGAAAUCAGCAAGUAUGAAAUCGCCAUUUGGGCAUUUUGAAGAAGAAGAAAUUGUGGAAGCUCGGCGGCCGGCGACUACAAGGGAGAAAAAUGCUAAAAAAAGCGAUGAAGACAAUGAAGUCGAUGCGAAAGCCGAUGAUUUCAUUAACAAAUUCAAGCAACAGUUGAAGUUGCAGAGGUUGGAUUCCAUUCUCAGGAGCAAGGAGACGACUGGCAGAGGGAGCUAAAGGUAUAAACUUCUGGGGGUUAAUUUUCAGUUUCUGAUUAGUUUUUGGGGCAAACUGUAGAAAUUGUUAAAGUAAGAUCCCAGCCGAUGAUUUCAUUAACAAAUUCAAGCAACAGUUGAAGUUGCAGAGGUUGGAUUCCAUUCUCAGGAGCAAGGAGACGACUGGCAGAGGGAGCUAAAGGUAUAAACUUCUGGGGGUUAAUUUUCAGUUUCUGAUUAGUUUUUGGGGCAAACUGUAGAAAUUGUUAAAGUAAGAUCC